rnacentral:rRNA from 1 species
UGGGGAAUUUUGGACAAUGGGCGAAAGCCUGAUCCAGCAAUGCCGCGUGUGUGAAGAAGGCCUUCGGGUUGUAAAGCACUUUUGUCCGGAAAGAAAUCCUUGGCUCUAAUACAGUCGGGGGAUGACGGUACCGGAAGAAUAAGCACCGGCUAACUACGUGCCAGCAGCCGCGGUAAUACGUAGGGUGCAAGCGUUAAUCGGAAUUACUGGGCGUAAAGCGUGCGCAGGCGGUUUGCUAAGACCGAUGUGAAAUCCCCGGGCUCAACCUGGGAACUGCAUUGGUGACUGGCAGGCUAGAGUAUGGCAGAGGGGGGUAGAAUUCCACGUGUAGCAGUGAAAAUGCGUAGAGAUGUGGAGGAAUACCGAUGGCGAAGGCAGCCCCCUGGGCCAAAUACUGACGCUCAUGCACGAAAGCGUGGGGAGCAAAACAGGAUUAGAUACCCUGGUAGUCCACGCCCUAAAACGAUGUCAACUAGUUGUUGGGGAUUCAUUUCCUUAGUAACGUAGCUAACGCGUGAAGUUGACCGCCUGAGGAGUACGGUCGCAAGAUUAAAACUCAAAUGAAUUGACGGGGUCAUAGCUGUUUCCU